CCUGGUGGUCAUGGCGCUGGAAAAACACCCGAUCCCUUCCCGAACUCGGCCGUGAAAAACAGCUGCGCCAAUGGUACUUUGCCUCAAGGCACGGGAGAGUAGGACGCCGCCAGGU
rfam:Haematospirillum jordaniae strain H5569, complete genome.